GAGUUUGAUCGUGGCUCAGGAUGAACGCUAGCGGCAGGCUUAAUACAUGCAAGUCGAGGGGCAGCGGGGUAGCAAUACUGCCGGCGACCGGCAAACGGGGUGCGGAACACGUACAGAACCUUCCUUUAAGCGGGGGAUAGCCCAUAGAAAUGUGGAUUAAUACCCCAUAGCAUUAUUGAGUGGCAUCAUUUAAUAAUUAAAGAUUUAUCACUUAAAGAUGGCUGUGCGGCUGAUUAGGUAGUUGGUGCGGGUAACGGCCUACCAAGCCAUCGAUCAGUAACUGGUGUGAGAGCACGACCAGUCACACGGGCACUGAGACACGGGCCCGACUCCUACGGGAGGCAGCAGUAAGGAAUAUUGGUCAAUGGACGCAAGUCUGAACCAGCCAUGCCGCGUGAAGGAUGAAGGCCCUCUGGGUUGUAAAACUUCUUUUAUCUGGGAAGAAAUGCCUGUUUUUUAACGGUUUGACGGUACCAGAGGAAUAAAGCACCGGACU
rnacentral:rRNA from 1 species